rnacentral:rRNA from 1 species
CUAUGCGCCUUGCCACGCCCGCCUCAGAAACUUAAAGGAAGUUGACGGGGGCCCGCACAAGCGGUGGAGCAUGUGGUUUAAUUCGAUGAUACGCGAGGAACCUUACCUGGGCUCAAAUGUAUGUUGACGUAUUCUGAAAGGGAUACUUCUUCGGACAAUAUACAAGGUGCUGCAUGGUUGUCGUCAGCUCGUGCCGUGAGGUGUUGGGUUAAGUCCCGCAACGAGCGCAACCCUUGCCUUUAGUUGCCAGCAGUUCGGCUGGGCACUCUAAAGGGACUGCCGGUGUUAAACCGGAGGAAGGUGGGGAUGACGUCAAGUCCUCAUGGCCUUUAUGACCAGGGCUACACACGUACUACAAUGGCCGAUACAAAGGGCAGCGACACUGCGAGGUGAAGCCAAUCCCGUAAAAUCGGUCUCAGUCCGGAUUGGAGUCUGCAACUCGACUCCAUGAAGUUGGAAUCGCUAGUAAUCGUGGAUCAGCAUGCCACGGUGAAUACGUUCCCGGGCCUU